UACGAAGGGUGGCAAGCGUUGUUCGGAUUUACUGGGCGUACAGGGAGCGUAGGCGGUUGGAUAAGCCCUCCGUGAAAUCUCCAGGCUUAACCUGGAAAGUGCAGAGGGGACUGUUCAGCUAGAGGAUGGGAGAGGAGCGCGGAAUUCCCGGUGUAGCGGUGAAAUGCGUAGAGAUCGGGAGGAAGGCCGGUGGCGAAGGCGGCGCUCUGGGCAUGUUCUGACGCUGAGGAGCGAAAGUGUGGGGAGCGAACAGG
rnacentral:rRNA from 1 species